GACGAACCGUGCGAACGUUGUUCGGAAUCACUGGGCUUAAAGGGCGCGUAGGCGGACGACCAAGUCGGGGGUGAAAUCUUUCGGCUCAACCGGAAAAUAGCCUUCGAUACUGGUCGUCUAGAGGGAGGUAGGGGCGUGUGGAACUUCCGGUGGAGCGGUGAAAUGCGUUGAUAUCGGAAGGAACUCCGGUGGCGAAAGCGACACGCUGGAUCUCAUCUGACGCUGAGGCGCGGAAAGCCAGGGGAGCAAACGGG
rnacentral:rRNA from 1 species